rnacentral:rRNA from 1 species
CAGUCGCCACGGGAAUACAGAGGGUGCGAGCGUUAAUCGGAUUUACUGGGCGUAAAGCGUGCGUAGGCGGCUAAUUGAGUCGGAUGUGAAAUCCCCGAGCUUAACUUGGGAAUUGCAUUCGAUACUGGUUAGCUAGAGUGUGGGAGAGCAUGGUAGAAUUCCAGGUGUAGCGGUGAAAUGCGUAGAGAUCUGGAGGAAUACCGAUGGCGAAGGCAGCCAUCUGGCCUAACACUGACGCUGAGGUACGAAAGCAUGGGGAGCAAACAGGAUUAGAUACCCGCGUAGUCCCUGUCUCUUAUAC